GCAAUCUCAAAAAAACAAUCUCAGUUCAGACUGCAGGCUGCAACUCGCCUGCACGAAGUCGGAAUUGCUAGUAAUCGUAGGUCAGCAUACUACGGUGAAUACGUUCCCGGGCCUUGUACACACCGCCCGUCAAACCAUGAGAGUUGGCAACACCCGAAGUCGGUAGUCUAACCGCAAGGAGGACGCCGCCGAAGGUGGGGUUGAUGAUUAGGGUUAAGUCGUAACAAGGUACC
rnacentral:rRNA from 1 species